AGAGUUGGGGAGUACCCGAAGCCUGUGAGCUAACAUUAUGAGGCAGCAGUCGAAGGUAGAAUCAAUGAUUGGGGUGAAGUCGUAACAAGGUAGC
rnacentral:rRNA from 1 species